AUGAAAGCCAUCGGAAGCGGCGGCGAGUGGUGGUGGAACCUCCCGUCUCUCCGCCGCAAGAACGAUUCGCGCCGCCGCGGCCGCCGCAACCAGGACGCUCGCGGCCGCCGCCGCGGCCCCCCGCGGGAGCCGCUCUCGUCGUCGUCGUCGGACUCCGUCGGCCAAAGCCGGGGCUGGCCCCUCGACUUCCCGUUCCAGCAGGCCGUGACCGCCGCCUGCCUCACCCUCACCGGCGACACAAUGGCGCAGGUCCACCGCCGCAUCGUCGACCGCCGGAAACGCGGCCCCGAACCCGACAGCAAGGCUCUUGUACCGGAUCUAUUGCUCAACCAUGAUUGGCUUCGUGGGCUCCGUAUAGCAUCUUACGGGUUUCUUCUCUAUGGUCCUGGCUCAUAUGCAUGGUAUCAGUUUCUUGACAAAAGCAUGCCCAAGCAAACACUCGCGACUCUGUCCGCUAAGGUCCUACUGAACCAGAUUGUUCUUGGUCCAUGUGUUAUCUCUGUAAUUUUUGCCUGGAAUAACUUGUGGUUAGGAAAAUUGUCAGAAUUGCCAUCUAAGUAUCAGAAUGACGCCCUUCCCACUCUUCUCGAUGGGUUCAAAUUUUGGAUUCCAGUAUCGAUUGUUAACUUUGGGAUGAUUCCUUUGCCUGCUCGUGUUGCCUUCAUGUCCUCUUGUUCCAUCUUCUGGAACUUCUAUUUGUCGACCACAAUGAACAAAUGA
rnacentral:rRNA from 1 species